GUCGCGCGUCACUUCGAUAGCGUUCGCACCAGGUAAUCUAUAGCGGGAAUAAAGUUCAGCCGUGAAUUUCUUCUGAAUUUAUCGUUUUCCAUCGGUCAAUAAUUUCUCACUGUUAUCCAGAGAUCUUGAAAAUUGUGCGAAUUUGAGAGAACACUCGACGAAAAGACGUGCGGAAUCAAAUUUUGUAAAGAGCAACAAAUUAAUGAAAAUUGUAUAAAUCCAGUUUCUAUCUAUAAAAUAUUGUGAAGCAAGAUAGACAGAACAAGUUACGCAAUAUUCAAUACGAUUUCAUCGAAUAAUUUUUUAAUAAUACAAGAUUCAAACUACCUUUCUCGAUUAUAUCGGUGAUACGGCCGAUACAGCGGAACCGGAAGAGUAUCAUUUUUCCGGUGCAAACAGUUCUCCACUGUUCUCCAGUGUCUUUCUCGAUACAGUCGGCGCUAUUACAGUGCGGUUUAAAUAUAGAUAAGAACGCGUGUUCUCAUGACGUAAAUUGCGCCGUUCUUUUUAUCCCAAUUCAACGUGCCACCGAGAUCGAAACGCUGUCGAAGAUUUUUCGCAUCAUGAAAAAACUCGUGUUACGAAUUCUUCUUGCAUCUUGUGUUCUAGAAUUAACGAAAGCCGAUAGCAGCAAAUUGUCAAAACCAGAAUACAACUAUAAUGGUGCCAAAAGAUCGUAUUGCCCCGCGAAUGCUUAUAUCGGAAAUCAACCAGUUAAUCGAUAUAACAGUUCUUUGCGAUUGAGACAACUAAGAGCUGAGAUGGUUCGCGUAGCAGCAGUUCAAGGGCCAGCGCUCGAUGGCUACAUCGUUACUUCAGAUGACGAGCAUCAAACAGUGAGCUUUGUUUAUCAUGGCCGUGAUGGCCCUUUAGAGAGCGAAACCGUGGAUCCACGUGAUAUGAGAAGAGAAUUUCUUACUGGAUUUUAUGGAAGCGCUGGGGAAGCUUUAGUCACUAUAGACAAAGCAAUACUUUGGACUGAUGGCCGAUAUCAUAUUCAAGCGGAUCAUCAGCUGGAUUGCAAUUGGAGUUUAAUGAAGCAAGGUGAACUUGACGUACCAACGAUAACACAAUGGUUAAUACAUGAGUUUCGAAAUCAAUCGGAAGUACGUAUCGGUGCUAAUCCAAGAUUAAUAUCCGCUUUUAUAUGGGAAAUAUGGGAAAACGAAUUAGCGAAUUCACCUAUAAGAUUGGUCGCAGUCCAUAACGACCUGGUGGACUUGAUCUGGCAGGUGGGCCGACCUGAAUACAAUCCACAUGCGGCAUAUCCGUUGCCGGAUCAGUACUCUGGUAAACCAUGGCAAGAGAAAAUUCGGAAUGUUCGGCUGGAAAUGGAACUUUCAUCGGCCGAUGCGCUUGUCGUUACCGCUUUAGACGAGAUAGCAUGGCUCUUCAAUAUUCGUGGCUACGACCUGCCGCACACACCCGUCUUAAGAGCCUAUGCGAUCGUCACUCAUGGAUUCCUGCACCUUUAUACACCACAUCACAAGAUCCUACGAUCCGUCGACAUACACCUCAAGAGUGAUUCUUGCUUCCACGCGGACUGCGUCAAAUGGCACAAUUACACGGCUAUUUGGUAUGAUUUAAAAACCAUGUCUCAAGCUUGGAACACAGUGUGGCUUCCAUCGCCUUAUGGAUAUACAUUGGGUGCGUCUAAAGAAAUAUACAAUUCUAUUCCACCAGAGAAGAGAUUGGCUAAGCCCUCGCCUGUAAUCGAUCUGCGAGCGGAAAAAAACAAAGUCGAAAUAGCAGGUAUGAGAAGAUCUCAUCUGAGAGAUGCGGUAGCUAUGUGCGAUUUUCUAGCUUACAUGGAAGAACAAUAUGAAUUGGACUCUGAAGGAUGGGACGAGAUGCAAGUGGCGAGAGUGGCCAAUGAAUUUCGUUACGAACAAGAUAAUAAUAAGGGUAUCGCUUUCCCGACAAUCGUGGGAUAUGGUUCGCACGGUGCUUUACCGCAUUAUGAACCAAUUAACUUAACCAAUGUUAAAAUCGGAACCACGUCCACGUUAGUGGUUGAUUCCGGAGGACAAUACUUGGAUGGUACCACUGACAUAACAAGGACUGUACAUUUUGGAGUACCGACCGAUGAGCAGAAAAAAGCUUAUACAAGAGUGUUGAUCGGUUCGAUCGAAUUAUCGUCUUUGAUCUUCCCUAAUGAUUUAACGACAGAUCAAUUGGACGCUAUUGCACGGAGACCGUUGUGGAGUACCGGUUACAAUUAUAUGCAUGGGACUGGUCAUGGAAUCGGUCAUUUCUCUUCAGUUCAUGAAUCACCUAUCCAUGUAGCAUAUUAUGGAUGCAAAAAUUCAGUAACAGGAUGUUCUCUUAAAUUGAAACCAGGAUUCUUCCUAUCAAAUGAACCGGGAUAUUAUAAAGAAGGCGAUUUUGGAAUUCGUUUGGAAAAUAUACUUGAAGUGAUUCCGGCUAGCAAAUUGAUUCAUAAUGGGCAAAAAUUUCUCAAAUUCAGAGAUAUUACUCUGGUUCCUUAUGAACCGAAACUUAUUGACAUCAAUAUGUUAACUCCAUUGCACCGACGUUGGUUAAAUAACUAUAAUAAACGUAUACGGGAAGAAGUUGGUGCAGAAUUGAAAAAAAAAUUAAAAAUGAAAGCAUUUUACUGGAUGAUGGAGAAGACUAUGACCAUUCCAAAAACAAGUUUAGAUAUCCAGGACUUUUUUCCUGAUUAUUCUCACUCGAUGCCGUCUAACCACAAGCAAUUCCACAUCUUGAUUGUGAUUGUUGCAAUUUAUCAUAUCAUAGCAAAUUGCAUAAGAAUGUAAUUAAUGUAAUUAAUUUAGAGAAUAUAUAUAUUACUUUGGACUGAUGACCGAUGUCAUAUUCAAGCGGACCAUCAAUUGGAUUGCAAUUGAAGUUUAAUGAAGCAAGAUGAACUUGAUGUAUCAAUGAUUCCAGGUAUCAUGAUAGAAUGAUUAAUACAUCAAUUUUCGAAAUCGAUCAGGAGUACGUAUCGGUAUUAAUCCAAGACUAAUAUUCACUUUUAUGUGAGAAAUAUGAGAAAACGAAGUAGGUAGUGACUUUUUAGAUAAGCCUAUUUUUUGUUAAACUAUAAUGUUUAUACUAUAUUUCUUCUCAUUCAAUAUUUAAUUCAGAUUAUUUAGAUAAUCAGAUUGCAUAAGAAUGUAAUUAAUAUAAUU